rnacentral:rRNA from 1 species
CAGUCGAACGGCAGCACGGGAGCAAUCCUGGUGGCGAGUGGCGAACGGGCGAGCAUAUCGGAACGUGCCCAGUCGUGGGGGAUAACGCAGCGAAAGCUGUGCUAAUACCGCAUACGAUCUACGGAUGAAAGCGGGGGAUCGCAAGACCUCGCGCGAUUGGAGCGGCCGAUAUCAGAUUAGCUAGUUGGUGGGGUAAAGGCCCACCAAGGCGACGAUCUGUAGCUGGUCUGAGAGGACGACCAGCCACACUGGAACUGAGACACGGUCCAGACUCCUACGGGAGGCAGCAGUGGGGAAUUUUGGACAAUGGGCGCAAGCCUGAUCCAGCAAUGCCGCGUGCAGGAUGAAGGCCUUCGGGUUGUAAACUGCUUUUGUACGGAACGAAACGGUCUGCCCUAAUACGGUGGGCUAAUGACGGUACCGUAAGAAUAAGCACCGGCUAACUACGUGCCAGCAGCCGCGGUAAUACGUAGGGUGCGAGCGUUAAUCGGAAUUACUGGGCGUAAAGCGUGCGCAGGCGGUUAUGUAAGACAGAUGUGAAAUCCCCGGGCUCAACCUGGGACCUGCAUUUGUGACUGCAUGGCUAGAGUGCGGCAGAGGGGGAUGGAAUUCCGCGUGUAGCAGUGAAAUGCGUAGAUAUGCGGAGGAACACCGAUGGCGAAGGCAAUCCCCUGGGCCUGCACUGACGCUCAUGCACGAAAGCGUGGGGAGCAAACAGGAUUAGAUACCCUGGUAGUCCACGCCCUAAACGAUGUCAACUG